rnacentral:lncRNA from 1 species
AUGGCUCAAUAGUUUGUGAACUGCAAAAUCCAGCCUGGGAAGCUGGUUGUGUUCAUCAACCCCACCUGCCCAUACUGCUGGAAGACCCAAGAGAUCCUCAGUCAAUUGCCCAUCAAACAGGGGCUUCUGGAAGUAGUAGUAGUAGCUGUCAAUAUCACAGCUUACUAACCACACCAACGAGAUUCAAGAUUAUUUGAAACAGCUCACAGGAGCAAGAAUGGUGCCUCGAGUCUUUAUUGGUAAAGAUUGUAUAGGCGGAUGCAGUGAUCUAGUCACUAUGUAACAGAGCAGGGAACUGCUGACGUGGCUAAAGCAGAUUGGAGCCCUGCAGUAA